UAACAAUUUAACUUUGCGUCUGUUUCCCACAACCAAAACAAAAGUCCGUCAUUAUCUCUGGAAAUUACUCUGAUUUUUUUUUCCAUUUUAAGUCGAUUUUCAGAUCCUGAGAGGUGAACACAAUUGCUAAGCAAGAUUUAAGUGGAAGUUACAACGAUAUUAAAGUUUAUGCCGGCACUGAGGCAAGCCUUAAAAAGAUGUAAGGCAAGUGAUUGACGCUGCCCAGUGUCUAGCAUACACGGCACUUUACCUCACGCCGUCUUGGAAAGUGUCCGUUUCUAUAGCCAAUCUGUGCAUCAUGUCGUGCCUUGAGUGUCCGUGUGCGUGUUCCCGCAUAGCCAGUCUGGCUGUGUCCCCGGAGGUGUGCGUAGAGCGUGUCGGUCACACUGACACCGCGUAUCAA